rnacentral:rRNA from 1 species
AAAACAUGUCUUAUUGAAAAUAAUUUUAAGUCUAAUCUGCCCAAUGAAAAUUUUAAUGGCUGCAGUAUCAAUAACUGUACAAAGGUAGCAUAAUAAUUAGUUUUUUAAUUGAAAACUAGAAUGAAAGAUUAAAUGAAAUAUAAACUUUAUUAAUAAAAUUAAAAUUAAACUUAAAUUUUAAGUUAAAAUUCUUAAAUAUUAUUAAAAGACGAGAAGACCCUUUAGAAUUUUAUAUAAAUUAAAAUUAAAAUUAUAAAUAUUAAUAAUAUAAAUUUUAAUUAAUAUUUAAUUGGGGUAAUUUUUUAAUUUUAUAAACUUUAAAAUAAUAAAACAUUAAUUAAUGAACUUAUAAACCUAAAAUUUAGAAUUUUAAAAUAAAUUACCUUAGG